rnacentral:rRNA from 1 species
UAAGGGGGCCAUACCGGGGAUGCUCCACCUGAUCCCAUUCCGAACUCAGAAGUGAAAUUCCCCUAGGGUCAAUGGUAGUGCAUUAGCGCAAGAGUAGAUCGCUCCCUUAU